rnacentral:rRNA from 1 species
GAACUUAGCCCGUGCUUCCUCCAGGGAUCGGUCAAGCACGUCGCCGUGCCUUCCUCCCCCUCGACAGGAGUUUACAACCCGAAGGCCUUCGUCCUCCACGCGGCGUCGCUCGGUCAGGCUUGCGCCCAUUGCCCAAUAUUCCCCACUGCUGCCUCCCGUAGGAGUCUGGACCGUGUCUCAGUUCCAGUGUGGCCGAUCAGCCUCUCAGCUCGGCUACCCAUCGUCGACUUGGUGGGCCGUUACCCCGCCAACUAUCUAAUGGGACGCGAACCCCUCACAGAGCGGAUUUCUCCUUUGACCUCAUCCCGAUGUCGGGUCGUGGUCUCAUGCGGUAUUAGCACUUGUUUCCAGGUGUUAUCCCCCACUCCGCGGCAGGUUGUUCACGCGUUACUCACCCGUUCGCCACUAAGAUAAAACCGAAAUCUUAUCUCCGUUCGACUUGCAUGUGUUAGGCACGCCGCCAGCGUUCGUCCUGAGCCAGGAUCAAACUACUGA